CAUGGAUAUCUAAGUUUAUUUCUCCGACAUUUCUUUUUAAACAACUUUGUCUGUGUGGAAGGAAUUAUUAUAAUGAUUUGUUAAUAUUGUGAUAAUCAUGAGUCAGUCGAUGAAGCCUCACGUGCUUUUCUGACCGCAGUGCUCCGGCGAAGCGUGCGGUUGAAUGUCAGAAAUCAGAAGUAAUAGAUUGCAUAGAUCUCAUCUCUCUCUCCAUUCCUUGCUUAGUUUAUAUAUUUGUCCGUUAAUAUGAGAUCUCUUCGCCAAGCUAGAGGAACAAUCCCACAAAUUUCAGCAUUGGAGUGAACAACUUGAGCACAGGUACUGUCAGGGCACUCAGCUAUUUGAUCCCACUGGGAAACUGGUUUAGGACUAUCAACUUCUACAGGACGUUUGGUCCAUGAGCUCUACAAAAGGAGAUGACAAAGAACUUGUCAAGUAGCUUUUGGUUACUAGAAUAAGAACAUGACCUCCAUACAACAAUACUGGCAAGUUAGUCCUAAAACCAAUAUGCUGAUGACUUGUGGUGUUUGUUGUUAAACUGUUUACCUCAUUUACCAAAGCGUUUGAAACUAAUGUGUCUUAAUGAAUGACAUGUUAAAUUA